AGAACGAACGCUGGCGGCAGGCCUCAAACAUGCAAGUCUAGGGGGUGUAGCAAUACAUCACCGGCGGACGGGUGCGUAACGCGUGGGAAUGUACCUAUUGGUUCGGAACAACUGAGGGAAACUUCAGCUAAUACCGGAUGAGCCCGAAAGGGGAAAGAUUUCUCGCCAAUAGAUCAGCCCGCGUCCGAUUAGCUAGUUGGUGGGGUUAAAGCCUACCAAGGCGACGAUCGGUAGCUGGUCUGAGAGGACGACCAGCCACACUGGGACUGAGACACGGCCCAGACUCCUACGGGAGGCAGCAGUGGGGAAUCUUGCGCAAUGGGCGAAAGCCUGACGCAGCAACGCCGCGUGAGGGAUGAAGGUCUUCGGGUUGUAAACCUCUUUCGAGCAGGGACGAUUGUGACGGUACCUGCAGAAGAAGCUCCGGCCAACUACGUGCCAGCAGCCGC
rnacentral:rRNA from 1 species